CGGGGUGCAGCAGGCGCGAAAACUUUGCAAUGCGGGAAACCGUGACAAGGGAACUCUGAGUGCCCGUAAAAUCGGGCUGUCCAUCGGUUUAAAUAACCGGUGAAGAAAGGGCCGGGCAAGACCGGUGCCAGCCGCCGCGGUAAUACCGGCGGCUCGAGUGGUGGCCACUAUUACUGGGCUUAAAGCGUUCGUAGCUGGUCUGUUAAGUCUCUGGGGAAAUCUUCCGGCUUAACCGGAAGGCGUCUCAGGGAUACUGGCAGACUAGGGACCGGGAGAGGUGAGAGGUACUCCAGGGGUAGGAGUGAAAUCCUGUAAUCCUUGGGGGACCACCUGUGGCGAAGGCGUCUCACCAGAACGGCUCCGACAGUGAGGGACGAAAGCUGGGGGAGCAAACCGGAUUAGAUACCCGGGUAGUCCCAGCUGUAAACGAUGCGCGUUAGGUGUAUCGGUGACCACGAGUCACCGAGGUGCCGAAGAGAAAUCGUGAAACGUGCCGCCUGGGAAGUACGGUCGCAAGGCUGAAACUUAAAGGAAUUGGCGGGGGAGCAC
rnacentral:rRNA from 1 species